rnacentral:rRNA from 1 species
UGAGGAAUAUUGCACAAUGGGCGCAAGCCUGAUGCAGCAACGCCGCGUGAGGGACGAAGGCCUUCGGGUCGUAAACCUCUUUUCUAGGGGACGAGUAAGGACGGUACCCCAGGAAUAAGUCUCGGCUAACUACGUGCCAGCAGCCGCGGUAAAACGUAGGAGGCGAGCGUUAUCCGGAUUUACUGGGCGUAAAGCGUACGCAGGUGGCUUCGUUAGUCGGACAUGAAAGCUCCUGGCUUAACUGGGAGAGGUUGUUCGAUACUGCGGGGCUUGAGGUUGGGAGAGGGACGUGGAAUUCCCGGUGUAGUGGUGGAAUGCGUAGAUAUCGGGGGGAACACCAGUGGCGCAAGCGGCGUCCUGGCCCACACCUGACGCUGAGGUACGAAAGCGUGGGUAGCAAACAG